rnacentral:rRNA from 1 species
AGAGGUGGCAAGCGUUGUUCGGAAUUACUGGGCGUAAAGGGCUCGUAGGCGGCCAACUAAGUCAGACGUGAAAUCCCUCGGCUUAACCGGGGAACUGCGUCUGAUACUGGAUGGCUUGAAUCCGGGAGAGGGAUGCGGAAUUCCAGGUGUAGCGGUGAAAUGCGUAGAUAUCUGGAGGAACACCGGUGGCGAAGGCGGCAUCCUGGACCGGUAUUGACGCUGAGGAGCGAAAGCCAGGGGAGCAAACGGGAUUAGAUACCCCGGUAGUCCUGGCCCUAAACGAUGAAUGCUUGGUGUGGCGGGUAUCGAUCCCUGCCGUGCCGAAGCUAACGCAGUAAGCAUUCCGCCUGGGGAGUACGGUCGCAAGGCUG